UACGUAGGGCGCAAGCGUUGUCCGGAAUUCUUGGGCGUAAAGAGCUCGUAGGCGGUCUGUCGCGUCGGCUGUGAAAGCCCGGGGCUCAACCCCGGGUCUGCAGUCGAUACGGGCAGGCUAGAGUGCGGUAGGGGAGACUGGAAUUCCUGGUGUAGCGGUGAAAUGCGCAGAUAUCAGGAGGAACACCGGUGGCGAAGGCGGGUCUCUGGGCCGUAACUGACGCUGAGGAGCGAAAGCGUGGGGAGCGAACAGG
rnacentral:rRNA from 1 species